AUGAUACCCUUUAGCUUCACAGUGACAAGUCAUUUUCUCAUUACUUUGGCUCUUUCAUUUUCCAUUUUAAUAGGCAUUACGAUCAUUGGAUUUCAAAGACAUGGGCUUCAUUUUUUUAGCUUCUUAUUACCUGCGGGAGUCCCACUGCCGUUAGCACCUUUCUUAGUACUCCUUGAGCUAAUCUCUUAUUGUUUUCGUGCAUUAAGCUUAGGAAUACGUUUAUUUGCUAAUAUGAUGGCCGGUCAUAGUUUAGUAAAGAUUUUAAGUGGGUUUGCUUGGACUAUGCUAUUUCUGAAUAAUAUUUUCUAUUUCAUAGGAGAUCUUGGUCCCUUAUUUAUAGUUCUAGCACUAACCGGUCUGGAAUUAGGUGUAGCUAUAUCACAAGCUCACGUUUCCACGAUCUCAAUUUGUAUUUACUUGAAUGAUGCUACAAAUCUCCAUCAAAAUGAGUCAUUUCAUAAUUGA
rnacentral:rRNA from 1 species